rnacentral:rRNA from 1 species
UACGUAGGGUGCAAGCGUUGCCCGGAUUUAUUGGGCGUAAAGGGCGCGUAGGCGGCUCUGCACGUCCGUUGUGAAAUCGCCCGGCUCAACUGGGCGGGGUCAGCGGAUACGGCAGAGCUUGAGCAAGCUAGGGGGCAAUGGAAUUCCCGGUGUAGUGGUGGAAUGCGUAGAGAUCCGGAAGAACACCGGUGGCGAAGGCGGCCUGCUGGGCAGUGCUGGACACUGAGGCGCGACAGCGUGGGGAGCAACAGG